ACCAGGCAUGGUGGCGCAUGCCUGUAAUCCCAGCAGCUCAGGAGGCUGAGGCAGGAGGAUCAAGAGUUCAAAGCCAGCCUAAAUAAAAGUGAAGCACUAAGCAACUCAGUGAGACCCUGUCUCUA
rnacentral:sRNA from 1 species